rnacentral:rRNA from 1 species
CAGCAGCCGCGGUAAUACGGAGGGUGCAAGCGUUAAUCGGAAUUACUGGGCGUAAAGCGUGCGUAGGCGGUUCGUUAAGUCUGUUGUGAAAGCCCCGGGCUCAACCUGGGAAUGGCAAUGGAUACUGGCGAGCUAGAGCGUGUCAGAGGAUGGUGGAAUUCCCGGUGAAGCGGUGAAAUGCGUAGAGAUCGGGAGGAACAUCAGUGGCGAAGGCGGCCGUCUGGGACAACACUGACGCUGAGGCACGAAAGCGUGGGGAGCAAACAGGAUUAGAUACCCCAGUAGUCCCUGUCUCUUAUAA